CAGUAGCCGCGGGAAUACGUAGGGUGCAAGCGUUAAUCGGAAUUACUGGGCGUAAAGCGUGCGCAGGCGGUUAUAUAAGACAGAUGUGAAAUCCCCGGGCUCAACCUGGGAACUGCAUUUGUGACUGUAUAGCUAGAGUACGGCAGAGGGGGAUGGAAUUCCGCGUGUAGCAGUGAAAUGCGUAGAUAUGCGGAGGAACACCGAUGGCGAAGGCAAUCCCCUGGGCCUGUACUGACGCUCAUGCAGGAAAGCGUGGGGAGCAAACAGGAUUAGAUACCCCCGUAGUCCCUGUCUCUUAUAC
rnacentral:rRNA from 1 species